UAAAAAUUAUUUAGGGUUCUUAAUCAUAUAAUGUUCAUUGCGAUGCUAUAAUUACCGAUAUGUGUUAUGUUGGUAGUUUCUAUACAAAUUAAAUUUAAUGGUGGAAUAAUACUUGUUAAAGGAAUUUGGAUUUUUUUGAAAAUUCUAGGAAUUUGGGUUUAAUGCAAGUGUUCCAUGAAAAUUGUUACACUAUGAUAAUAGAGUUGCUUUGGGGUCUAAACAAUUUUUUUUUUUUUUUUUUUUUUCUAGACAGUUGUGGAAGCUUCAACCUUUAGUUUCCUUGUAUUUGAUUGAAGCUUACCCAACUUGGAGUCCAUGUGAUCUAUUCGAUAAAUGGGCUAUUAAAUUUUUUGGUAUAAUUUGAUUAUUAUUUCUCUCCGUUACCGUAAAUUGUUAUUUAUAUUUGUGUUAAUAUAAUUAAUGAGUAAUGUAGCCAUGUAUAGUUGGAGAAUUUGUUAAGCAAGAAAGCUUAUGUUGGUAAAUAUUGCACAAACACUUCGAGAAAUACAGGUGGGAGUUAUGAAAAUAUAUUUUCUAGUUAGCUCCUUCUUCCUAUUAUUUAGCAAUGUUAAUAAAUCUUACUUUUUUCCUAUUGAAUUCAAUGUCAGUUACCUUUGACUGAAAUUUCUGUACUUAUGUGUUGGAAACAUAAAUAAUUUGUGAGGGAGGGCAAAGUAGAGCCUUGCAAUGACACAACGGCACCAGCAAGAGGGCACAACAGAACCGCCUGACAGGAGCACAUUAUCAUAUUUUAAGCAGGGGAAACCAACUAUUGUAUACAAUCAGCUAUCUAUUAUAUAUGAACAACCUCUCCAUAAUGGUAUGAAAUUGCAUUUUCUCAUACAACAUGUUAUUAAUUGAUAAUAAAAUAAAUAAAAUGAAAUUUUCAGCUUGUUCUGGUUUUGUGAUUUUGCUCUCAGGAUCUCCAAAGCACCUGGCAACAAUUGGAGCAAAAAAUAUUUGAAAGAAGUAGCAAAAACAGGUUGGACAUAUAAAUUCAUACUUAUAAACGUUGAAAUUGAUGUACUCUUUUUUCUUUUUCAUUUUUUUUCUUUUUUUUUUUCCGGUUUACAUGGAUUAUUUAAUUUUUGAUUCAUGUGUAGGAAAGUUAUUGUACUAGUUGAUGGUACAAGAGAUUGUUUUGAUACUUUUGUUAACGGUGGAGACUUUAUUGUAAUAGUUGAUGGUAAAUAGAUUUUUUUUGA